rnacentral:rRNA from 1 species
CCUACGGGAGGCAGCAGUGAGGAAUAUUGGUCAAUGGACGGAAGUCUGAACCAGCCAAGCCGCGUGCAGGAAGACGGCUCUAUGAGUUGUAAACUGCUUUUAUACAAGGGUAAACCUGAAUACGUGUAUUCAGCUGAAAGUACUGUACGAAUAAGGAUCGGCUAACUCCGUGCCAGCAGCCGCGGUAAUACGGAGGAUCCGAGCGUUAUCCGGAUUUAUUGGGUUUAAAGGGUGCGUAGGCGGCUUGAUAAGUUAGAGGUUAAAUGUCCGGGCUUAACUCCGGAAUUGCCUUUAAUACUGUUGAUCUAGAGAGUAGAUGAGGUAGGCGGAAUGUAUGGUGUAGCGGUGAAAUGCUUAGAGAUGACACAGAACUCCGAUAGCGAAGGCAGCAUACCGGCGCCCGACUGACGCUGAGGCACGAAAGCGUGGGGAGCGAACAGGAUUAGAUACCCGGGUAGUC